UGCAGAUAAGUUUUAAUUUUUUCUUUUCUUUUUGUAGUUAAGACUUAAGAGACUUCAUGCAACAUUUUCCCAACUGGGCCGACUAUGGAUUGUCCUUCCAUGAAAGGCUUGUUUGAUAUACCACAACCUUGUCAAAUUUGUGGAGAUGCCUUGGAACAGAGAACACAAGUGAAGUGUCCAAUCAUGUACUUACUUGUAU
rnacentral:lncRNA from 1 species